ensembl:lncRNA
AAACCUUUAAAGUGCUGUGGGGCCGCCUUGAAUUGCCUUGUUGCCAUAGCUGGGGGUAUCGUCAAACCUCCAAGGGCUUUUUCAGGGAUAAUUAUUAUGCUGAUAAUGCCAUAAUUAGAACCCCAGCCACAGUGGGGGAGUCUGCUGCUCCUGGUUUUGUGCAGACMUCAGGGGGAAGAUAGACCCCACCAUUCUGGAUCAGAUACCACCUGAGGAGCCUCUGAGAAACAUUUAAGAAACUUUCCUGAUGCAGGGCCACAUCCGGCUUGUUUCCUCUAGGUUUGGAAAGCACCAAUACCAGCAGGAAAGCAAGAAAGGAAAUGAAAUCCAGCACUACUGUAGAAACAAAGAAAGGAUCAUCUGUUGUCCAGAAGGGUUCAGUUCCAUUACCAAGUUUAUCUUCUAGUCAUGUGAAGAGAAAAAGUAAAAAACAGUUCUCAGAAAAUGUAAACGAACCUAUGGUUUUAAAACCAGCAACUCUAGUGGAAUCUUACUUAGAUCAGUCCUUACAGAUUUCAUCUCUAAAUAAAGAUGGUAUGCUGGAUGAACUGCAGAUGCUAGGUGAUAUCACUAAACAUCUAAAUCAGCAGAAAGAUCAUGAGGAUAUGACUGAGUCACUGUUGUGUUUCUCAACAAUCUCAUCACAGUUAGAAGCAUCAUUUGAUGAAGAAAGAGAAAUAUUAGAAUCUUUGGCUAAGUGGUUUGGAAAAGAAGCCCAACUGAUGGAAGAAAAACUUUUGAAUCAAUGA